rnacentral:lncRNA from 1 species
AUGGACCCUGAAGGCCUGCAGCUCCUGUUAUCCCCUAGAACCCUGGCAGCCCUGGCGAACGGCUAGCUUCAAGAGGACUGCUCAGGCCUCAAUUUUGCAUCCUUGGUUACCUCGUAGGCUGUGCUGUGGGCUAAAUCUCCCGGGGUUCUGGCAGGGCGACCCUUCUUUGACACCAUCUUCACUCAACUCAACUGCUAAGUGUCCUGGUUCCUCCCGGAGGGAUCGAAGCUGAAUAAAGGUGGCAAGAGGUCAAGGGACGUGUCUACCACCUGCUGCAAAGAGGACGGGUGGCCCUUAAUACCCUGGCCUACUGCAGUGGGACUACCAGCGCAGCAGCGACAGCUGUGGAGGUGGCCAGGAGCACCAGCCGGACUGGACACGUGGCAGGCACGAGGAAGACGAGGCACCAGUUUCUGACUGGUGGAGAAGUAUGAGCUCCUCCUAGUAGGCGGGGCAGCAUGCCACCGCUAGGACCUGGGAGAGGGCUGGUGAUAGUGAAAGACAACCACAUGGUGGCAGCCGGCAGUGCUGAAGGCUCGGCAGGCAGGGUUGAAGGUAGAGGUGGAAUGUAGCAGCCUGAGGGAGGCCUUGUGGACAGCAGAGGCUGGGGCUGACCUGGUAAUGCUGGACAACUUUAAGCCUGAGGAGCUGCACCCCACAGCAGCUACGCUUAAAGCCAAAUUACCCAGCGUGUCUGUGGAAGCCAGUGGGGGUGUCACACUAGACAACCUCACCCAGUUCUGUGGGACACACCUUGAGAAUGCUGACCCAGGCUGCUCCCGCCCUGUAUUUUUCCCCCAAACUGUUUGCUGAAGGAGAUACUCCAGUGCCUCAUGCUUGCCGGUUCGAAAGUUGA